rnacentral:rRNA from 1 species
AUGCGCCCCAAUCCAGAUGUACGGGCUGACGGGAAUAUCUACCUAGAGAGAGCAUCAGUAAGCGGUGUGCUAGUCAGAGACGGAAGCGUUCCAAGUUAUACCCAUGCUCUAAAGAACAAAACAUCUACUAGUACUUAUGGCAAAAAGUACCUUUCCCAUGAUAUGGUAAGUCACAGUAGUCUAAGCCAAUUACUAAAUGGUACAGAACUAAUUAUGUCUAAAAUGGAGGUUUCUCUUCCUGUGAAUAUGAUGAAUAAGCAUUGGUACGUGGCGGUUGUCAAUGCCAAAAAAAGAGCAGUGCAAGUUUUGGAUUCGAUGCCAUUAACAAUAAACAGUUUAAGAAAGCCCACACCCGGAACUAGAAAACAUGGUACAUUUUUCAAUGCUUAG